UUUAAUGUUUCUGAUUCUGAGAAAGCUGUGGUCAUGUGGGCACAGUGGGUGGAAUACUCAGCAUUUACAGGUUCUGGAGGAUAUUUUGUUUUUCUAAGCUUUUCUCAAGCCGAAAAACACAAGAGCAAAAGCGCGAGGAAUGGAUUAAACUAUGUGUUUGUCAGCUCUAAUGCAAAGCAGCAAAUGUUAACAAGUCAAGCUAACGAGCUUACUAUGCACAGUAACAACCUGCAUGGUGUAUCCAGACGGGGCCUCAAACACACACGGUGGAAUCUCCCCAGCUCGACACGACACUGCAGCACACAGGGAAAAGUUUGUCAGCUCUGGCACUUGGUGGUGAGUUUGGAUGGCGACUCCACUGUAUGCAUGGCUGCCUGUCUGUUCUCCUGUCUGUCUAUGUCACCUCUGGGUCUUUGUAGUGAGAUGGCACGGGUGGCCGAUGUCCCUCUGAGACGCCGACGAACCGGGAUUGAAGUAUUCCUCGGCCGUCAGCGCUGCUGGGUUGGUCACAGCGGGACACGACAUCUGGGUCACCAAGGCCUGCAGAAAGUGAAUCAUGAAUUUUUGAUGUAACUGAAUGUUGCCGUUUUAAAGAUUGCAAAGCUUUUACUGAUAUGUGGAAAAACUGAUCGUGUCUACUACAGUACAGAGGAUCGUUCAUCAACACCGGCGAGUACAUUACAAAGAGUAAAGACUUCUGAUUUUCUAUUCCAUUGCCAUUCCUCUCUACCUACUGGGAUUUCAAGGCUUUCUUCUUACCUUCUGACAUGCUGAAUGAAAGAAAAGUUUGCAAACAAAUGACAAAUCAGGUUUCUUUUUAUUCAGGCAUUUUACAUCUGUAAUGAUGUAAAAUGUUUACAACAGAAACAUCCACUGUAAUGUGGUGGUUCACUGCUCUAAUUAGUAGCUCACUGUCAACUGUUCGAAAUAUGAUAUGUAACAUGUCUGCAUUAAAAAAAUAUAUAAAAAAAAUAAUGUUCAAAC